GUAGUUAGCCGGGGCUUCCUCACAGAUUACCGUCACUUCCUUCGUCAUCUGCGACAGAGGUUUACAAUCCGAAAACCUUCUUCCCUCACGCGGCGUUGCUGGGUCAGGCUUGCGCCCAUUGCCCAAUAUUCCCCACUGCUGCCUCCCGUAGGAGUCUGGACCGUGUCUCAGUUCCAGUGUGGCCGAUCAGCCUCUCAGCUCGGCUACCCAUCGUUGACUAGGUGGGCCGUUACCCCGCCUACUAUCUAAUGGGACGCGAGCCCCUCCUUUUGCGGAUUACUCCUUUUACCCCUCUGCCAUGUGACAGUGUGGUCUUAUGCGGUAUUAGCAACGAUUUCUCGUUGUUAUCCCCCUCAAAAGGUCAGGUUGCUCACGCGUUACUCACCCGUUCGCCACUAAGUUUACAACCGAAGUCAUAAACUCCGUUCGACUUGCAUGUGUUAGGCACGCCGCCAGCGUUCGUCCUGAGCCAUAAUCAAACUCUGA
rnacentral:rRNA from 1 species